rnacentral:rRNA from 1 species
UACGUAGGGUGCAAGCGUUAAUCGGAAUUACUGGGCGUAAAGCGUGCGCAGGCGGUGAUGUAAGACAGGUGUGAAAUCCCCGGGCUUAACCUGGGAACUGCAUUGGUGACUGGCAGGCUAGAGUAUGGCAGAGGGGGGUAGAAUUCCACGUGUAGCAGUGAAAUGCGUAGAGAUGUGGAGGAAUACCGAUGGCGAAGGCAGCCCCCUGGGCCAAUACUGACGCUCAUGCACGAAAGCGUGGGGAGCAAACAGG